GACGAACGCUGGCGGCGUGCCUAAUACAUGCAAGUUGAGCGCUGAAGGCUGGUACUUGUACCAACUGGAUGAGCAGCGCACGGGUGAGUAACGCGUGGGGAAUCUGCCUUUGAGCGGGGGACAACAUUUGGAAACGAAUGCUAAUACCGCAUAAAAACUUUAAACACAAGUUUUAAGGUUGAAAUACGCAAUUGCAUCACUCAAAGAUGAUCCCGCGUUGUAUUAGCUAGUUGGUGAGGUAAAGGAUCACCAAGGCGAUGUUACGUAGCCGACCUGAGAGGGCGGUCGGCCGGCCUGGGAGUGAGACCGGGCCCAAAGGCCUUGGGGAGGCAGCAGUAGGGAAUCGUGAGCAAUGGGCGAAAGUCUGAGCGAGAAAGGCCGAGUGAGUGAGGAAGGUUGUCGGGUCGUAGAACUCUGUUGUUAGGGAAGAAAGUUGGUGAGAGUGGAAAGCUCAGCAAGUGACGGUAACUAGUCAGAAAGGGACGGCUAACUACGUG
rnacentral:rRNA from 1 species